rnacentral:rRNA from 1 species
CUAGCGCGCAUCCUUACACUGCAAGUCGAAGGGCAGCACGGGGGCAACCCUGGUGGCGAGUGGCGAACGGGUGAGUAAUACAUCGGAACGUGUCCUGUAGUGGGGGAUAGCCCGGCGAAAGCCCGGAUUAAUACCGCAUACGCUCUAUGGAGGAAAGGGGGGGAUCUUAGGACCUCUCGCUACAGGGGCGGCCGAUGGCAGAUUAGCUAGUUGGUGGGGUAAAGGCCUACCAAGGCGACGAUCUGUAGCUGGUCUGAGAGGACGACCAGCCACACUGGGACUGAGACACGGCCCAGACUCCUACGGGAGGCAGCAGUGGGGAAUUUUGGACAAUGGGCGCAAGCCUGAUCCAGCAAUGCCGCGUGUGUGAAGAAGGCCUUCGGGUUGUAAAGCACUUUUGUCCGGAAAGAAAACGUCGUGGUUAAUACCCGUGGCGGAUGACGGUACCGGAAGAAUAAGCACCGGCUAACUACGUGCCAGCAGCCGCGGUAAUACGUAGGGUGCAAGCGUUAAUCGGAAUUACUGGGCGUAAAGCGUGCGCAGGCGGUCCGCUAAGACAGAUGUGAAAUCCCCGGGCUUAACCUGGGAACUGCAUUUGUGACUGGCGGGCUAGAGUAUGGCAGAGGGGGGUAGAAUUCCACGUGUAGCAGUGAAAUGCGUAGAGAUGUGGAGGAAUACCGAUGGCGAAGGCAGCCCCCUGGGCCAAUACUGACGCUCAUGCACGAAAGCGUGGGGAGCAAACAGGAUUAGAUACCCUGGUAGUCCACGCCCUAAACGAUGUCAACUAGUUGUCGGGUCUUCAUUGACUUGGUAACGUAGCUAACGCGUGAAGUGACCGCCUGGAGUACGUGC